CUCAGAUAAUGUCUGUGGGGAAGCAAGGCAGGGUCCAGGCUUCUUUCCCUGCUUGUUUAUCUUCCCUUCCUAGGAGCCUCAUUUGUGCCUGGCAGAUAAGUUAGUCUCAGUGUUGUGGGUCUUGGGUAGUUAUCUCUGUUGUUUGAAACGAAAAGCCAGCCGGAGACUGUAGUGGACCAAUAGUCUAGGAACAGACAGAAUUCUCCAUUACUUCUGCAGUUUGCUGGCAAGGACUCCUGGAGCAAACUAACAGGAAUAUGGUGGUGUUCCGGUCACUUGUUUGUGUGUUUUUAUUCUCUGAAUGAUUUUAUUGAGGGAGCUGAGGCUAUGUACAAUGUAAGGAGAUUCAGAAGGGAGGUGAGUUGGUGCUACAGAGCUGGAUUUGUUACUGGAGCUCAGGAAGGUUCUUUGGGGAACAGAGGAAGGCAGGGGACAUUAAAAGUGGGCAAAGAAGAUGAUGGAAUUUUGGAAUUGAUGGGGGAAGGGGACUAGUGGUGAACAAAUCAAGUAAGACGACUUAAGUUUAGACUUCGGCUUAGGCAGGGGUUUCAGGUGAAACCUGGACUUCUGUGAAGACAGGAGCAGCAUACUGAGGUGAUUUAGGGCUUCAGGAAUGAGGAUGGAGGUGGAGUUUCAUCAUCUGCCCAUAAUAAAAGGGGCAGUGUGAUUCACCCUCUAAAUCUACAAAAGAAAGGUAUGUGUUAAGAUAUGGAUCUCAGGAAUUGUUGUUUUUAAUGACAGACUCAAAAUGACCAAAUCAAAGCACUGGACACCAUCUAGGGUCUUCUAGAUUGAAGUCUCUGAGUGGAAGGUAGGGCCCUUGGCGCUGGGGCAGAAGGUGAAAUCUGACCGCAACAGUAACAACUACAAGUUGAGACACAGCAGAGAAACAGUCAGGUGGGGUGAGCAGAGAAAGAAUAAAUGCUUCACUGGCCUUGGUAUCUUUGCUAGGCAAGGGCAUCAGCAUGGGUGGGUGGGGCAGAACACACAGCUGGGCCUCUUCUCAAGGAAGGUGCCUAGUCUCCAGGCACUGGGGUGGAAAGCCAGCCCUACCUUCAGGGCCAGACACUGAGAGUCUAACUUUAACAGGAAGGCCUGUUUGGAUUGGGUAGCAGUUUGUAACCCUGGAAAAACUGUACCAUGAAUAUUUGUUGGGAAUCUGUGUCAUCCUGUCUAUUGGUCUGAGAGGCAUCUGUUACAUAAACUACUUUAUUUUCUGCCAUUUAAUGUGACUUGUCAAUUCAAAAUCCUAUUCCUGUGACUAUAUGAAAACAUUCAAUAGAAUCUGUUACUUGAGCAUUGUCCAUACAGUUAAAAGUUCUAUAAUUAAACUACACAUCAACAUCUGCAGUUCCCUCACCUGUUGUCAGUGAGAAAAGCUCACUUGGUUUAAAAAAGAUGUAUCUAGCUCUUAUCAGCUCCCUGUAAAGUACCAGUGCUUCAACAAGAGGAGACAUCAUAAAUAGGACCUGUCAGAAGUGGAGAACUGGAAACACAUGGACCAAUGAGAGGAGAAGCAGAAGGAAGAGCCAGUUUGGAGGGAAGAUGAUUAAGUUUUGUGUUUGACAUGAAAUUUCCAAAAGUGGGUUCCAGAAUUUCCAUCUCAAAGAUGAGGAUAUGAAACCUUUUUAAGGGUCCAUAUUCACUGAAGAAUGAUACCCUGGAAUCAAAUAGAAGCCCUUCUCUCACCUUGGCCAUUGAAUCUUUAACAUCCCGAGAACGGUUUAUAUAAAAGCAACACUCCUCAGCUAAGAUAGCACAUAGCCCUCCUUGCUGGAGGAAAAGCCAUGGUUUGAGCUGCUCUGGUUUCAUUCACGUAGAAGGAAAGGAAUCCCGACGAACACAUUUGGUGAUGAUAGUGGCCAGCAAAUCUCCUGUGAGUGGCUGCUGUGGGUUGAGAGCCAUGGAAACACCUCGAUAAACAGGAAGCUGUCAGUCUGGUCAAGAGUCAGGCAGUCUUGGAAGUUUCCUGCCAGGAUGUUCACCAGAGAGGAGCAGCCUGACCGAAGCAUUUGCUCCUCAGGACUUCCUUUUAAAAGAAGUUGAUUUCAUGUCACACAAUCUCUGUGGUCUUGGGGGACUCCUCCCCCCAGAUUGCAAUAUUCACGAGUGAUUCAGGAGGGAAUGAUUCAAUCGUGUCUAAUUGUACUGCACAUGACAUUGAGGAACGGCCUUCCAAAUCACACAGGCUUGCAGUACAUCAGUGUGGCAGGGCAGGCUGCCUGGGGAUGAGUUUUAGUACCAGCACUUGCUAGCAAGGCGACCUUGUUUCUGGGAGAGAUAAAUGACAUGAUUGCUGCACAGAAAGCAGCAUAGCAUUUGGCUCAAGAAAUGAACACAGAUUCCCAUCAGUUCUUCCUUGGACGUCUUUCCUGGUGCUGCUCUAUGGCUCCAGCCACUGCCUAGUGUUGCAUCACCUUAGGCUAAGUUCACAGCUAUCUCUGUAGUAUAGUUCAAACUCGGAGAGAAUACUUUAAAGUAUAACAAAAUAUCUCAAAGCUGGGUGAUCAUGAGGAAGGCUCACCAUAGUGGCACAGUGUGGAGGUUGACUAGAGACAUGGUAAGUUGGAAGAACGACAGACAUUCCUUCUAGGUGGAUGCUAGGCAGCAAAGCUUGGAACAGCAUGAAAAUAAGGCCAGAGCAAAACAAAGCAAAUAUAACUUUUAAAGACUUGUAUUGUAUUGUUAUAGCUUUCUUCCCACCCACUGUCUAGAUUUUCUUAGGACAUCUGGUAUACCCCGUCCUAACAUGUUUUCAUUCCUGGUGGUGACCUUUACCACCUAGAAAUGCAAGCUAGCUGGAUAGCACAACUCCAGUGAAGCAAUAGGGCAUACUUAUUACUUCAUGGUUCACAUGCCCCAGAUCCUAAUUUCACUUUUUUCAAAACAGCACAAGAAUCUCCUCUCUCUCUCUCUCUCUCUCUCUCUCUCUCUCUCUCUCUCUCUCUCUCUCUCUCUCUCUCUCUCAGAGUCUAGUGUAGUUUACAAACGACUGGAAUCAAUUGGCAGAAGCCUUCCAAACUGUGUACCCAAAUAAAUGGCUACUCUUCAUAAGUUGAUCUGUCACAGACAUUCAUCACAAUACCAGAAAUGUGAUUAGUGUACCUCACACAAAUGGUGGGAAACUAACACAAGUAGACUUGUUUAUAACACUAGGGGAGGAUUGCUACUUUGAUCUCAAAGUCAAAUGUAGUCUGGCCUAACUGCCAGCCAAGCUACAGACCCAGACAAGAGAACUUCACUCCCCAGUGACAAAAAACAUAAAGCAAAGGACUCUCAGCUGGCUGAGGAUGGAAGAAUGCAAUCUAAGGAAAAUCCCUGUCAGUUAUGAACCCACCUUUAAGUAAUUGGCAUCUAUGCAUCUGGGAUGUUCACCACUGGAUAAGACUGAACUAGCCCAGGCACCAUCAAGAAGGGAUGCUAGAGGGAGGAGGUGGGAAGAGCUGUUAUCAGGAGACAAUUUGGUCUUUAGAACAUAAAUCCUCCCAGUGGGUAGAGAUCGUGGGAAGAUCUGCAGGAAAUGUUGUCAGGGUACCACUUCCCAAGUCCAUGUUUCCUGGGGAUAAUUUAAAAGUUUAAAAUUGGAAAAGGAGCCAGAC